rnacentral:rRNA from 1 species
GAUGAACGCUGGCGGCGUGCCUAAUACAUGCAAGUCGAGCGAACAGACGAGGAGCUUGCUCCUCUGACGUUAGCGGCGGACGGGUGAGUAACACGUGGAUAACCUACCUAUAAGACUGGGAUAACUUCGGGAAACCGGAGCUAAUACCGGAUAAUAUAUUGAACCGCAUGGUUCAAUAGUGAAAGACGGUUUUGCUGUCACUUAUAGAUGGAUCCGCGCCGCAUUAGCUAGUUGGUAAGGUAACGGCCUACCAAGGCAACGAUGCGUAGCCGACCUGAGAGGGUGCUCGGCCACACUGGAACUGAGACACGGUCCAGACUCCUACGGGAGGCAGCAGUAGGGAAUCUUCCGCAAUGGGCGAAAGCCUGACGGAGCAACGCCGCGUGAGUGAUGAAGGUCUUCGGAUCGUAAAACUCUGUUAUUAGGGAAGAACAAAUGUGUAAGUAACUAUGCACGUCUUGACGGUACCUAAUCAGAAAGCCACGGCUAACUACGUG